rnacentral:rRNA from 1 species
UACGAAGGGGGCUAGCGUUGUUCGGAAUUACUGGGCGUAAAGCGCGUGUAGGCGGGCCGUUAAGUCGGGGGUGAAAGCCCAGAGCUCAACUCUGGAAUUGCCUUCGAUACUGGCGGCCUGGAGCGUGAUAGAGGCGAGGGGAAUUGCGAGUGUAGAGGUGAAAUUCGUAGAUAUUCGCAGGAACACCAGUGGCGAAGGCGCCUCGCUGGAUCAUUGCUGACGCUGAGACGCGAAAGCGUGGGGAGCAAACAGG